rnacentral:piRNA from 1 species
UUUAGCAAUGCACCACCCAUGGCCCCAC